UACGUAGGUGGCAAGCGUUGUCCGGAUUUACUGGGCGUAAAGAGCGCGCAGGCGAUCGUUCAAGUCGCGUGUGAAAGCCCCCGGCUCAACUGGGGAGGGUCACGCGAUACUGAUCGACUCGAAGGCAGGAGAGGGUAGUGGAAUUCCUGGUGUAGCGGUGAAAUGCGCAGAUAUCAGGAAGAACACCCGUGGCGAAGGCGGCUCUCUGGGACGGUACUGACGCUGAGACGCGAAAGCGUGGGGAGCGAACAGG
rnacentral:rRNA from 1 species